rnacentral:rRNA from 1 species
AUUGAACGCUGGCGGCAGGCCUAACACAUGCAAGUCGAACGAGUGGCGGACGGGUGAGUAAUGUCUGGGAAACUGCCUGAUGGAGGGGGAUAACUACUGGAAACGGUAGCUAAUACCGCAUACCAUCAGAUGUGCCCCGAUGGGAUUAGCUAGGUGGUGGGGUAACGGGUCACCAAGGCGACGAUCCCUAGCUGGUCUGAGAGGAUGACAAGUCGCACUGGAACUGAGACACGGUCCAUACUCCGACGGGAGGCAGCAGUGGGGAAUAUUGCACAAUUGGCUCAAGCCUGAUGCAGCCAUGCCGCGUGUAUGAAGAAGGCCUUCGGGUUGUAAAGUACUUUCAGCGGGGAGGCGUUACCCGCAGAAGAAGCACCGGCUAACUCCGUGCCAGCAGCCGCGGUAAUUC